UGGGCAUGGGGGAGCCGCUGGCCAACUACGCCCGCGUGGUGGCCGCGGUGCGGCGCAUCACCGAGGCGCCGCCGUCGGGUUUCGGAAUCUCGGCGCGUUCGG
rnacentral:tRNA from 1 species